GAACCGACGAACCACCAAAUGGGGUACUCAGGCUAUCGAUAUACUAAUUCACCAUGAAUUGAAGUUUGGAGAUUGUUUGUUUGUAGUAAAAGGGGUGGAAAUGGCCUCAAAAGACCUUGGAGGCCCCGGCUUUGUUUGAAGAAGAUACACAGGCUGUUGUAUUUUUUGUGCAAAUUUUCCUAUGUAAAUGACCAUAUAAUUUGUAGCUGCUUAUUGCUUCUGCUGUUGUUUCCUUCAUCUUCCAAGUCAAAAAGAUGACACAUCAAUUAGUAUAAAAU
rnacentral:misc_RNA from 1 species